rnacentral:rRNA from 1 species
UACGAAGGUGCAAGCGUUACUCGGAAUUACUGGGCGUAAAGCGUGCGUAGGUGGUGAGUUAAGUCUGUCGUGAAAGCCCCGGGCUCAACCUGGGAAUGGCGAUGGAUACUGGCUCGCUAGAGUGCGGUAGAGGAGAGUGGAAUUCCCGGUGUAGCAGUGAAAUGCGUAGAGAUCGGGAGGAACAUCAGUUGCGAAGGCGGCUCUCUGGACCAGCACUGACACUGAGGCACGAAAGCGUGGGGAGCAAACAGG